UACGUAGGGGGCAAGCGUUGUCCGGAUUUACUGGGUGUAAAGGGCGUGUAGGCGGGAUUACCAGUCAGAUGUGAAAUCCCGAGGCUUAACCUCGGAGCUGCAUCUGAAACUGUUUUUCUUGAGUGUCGGAGAGGAAAGUGGAAUUCCCAGUGUAGCAGUGAAAUGCGUAGAGAUUGGGAGGAACACCAGUGGCGAAGGCGGCUUUCUGGACGAUAACUGACGAUGAGGCGCGAAAGCGUGGGGAGCAAACAGG
rnacentral:rRNA from 1 species